rnacentral:rRNA from 1 species
UGGGGAAUUUUGGACAAUGGGGGAAACCCUGAUCCAGCCAUCCCGCGUGUGCGAUGAAGGCCUUCGGGUUGUAAAGCACUUUUGGCAGGAAAGAAACGUCAUGGGUUAAUACCCCGUGAAACUGACGGUACCUGCAGAAUAAGCACCGGCUAACUACGUGCCAGCAGCCGCGGUAAUACGUAGGGUGCAAGCGUUAAUCGGAAUUACUGGGCGUAAAGCGUGCGCAGGCGGUUCGGAAAGAAAGAUGUGAAAUCCCAGAGCUCAACUUUGGAACUGCAUUUUUAACUACCGGGCUAGAGUGUGUCGGAGGGAGGUGGAAUUCCGCGUGUAGCAGUGAAAUGCGUAGAUAUGAGGAGGAACGCCGAUGGCGAAGGCAGCCUCCUGGGAUAACACUGACGCUCAUGCACGAAAGCGUGGGGAGCAAACAGA